rnacentral:snRNA from 1 species
AUACUUACCUGAAGGGGAGAUACCAUGAUCACAAAGGUGGUUUUCCAGGGCGAGGCUUAUCCGUUACACUCCGGAUGUACUGACCCCUGCAAUUUCCCCAAAUGUGGGAAAAUUGACUGGAUAAUUUGUAGUAGUGGGGGACUGCAUUCGCACUUUCCCCUG